AACAUAUUGUCUCUGAAAGGAAAGGAAAUUCACCGGGAAUAAACCCAAAUAGCCAAGAGAUUAUCAAAAAUAUAGGCUACAACCAGAUUUCCACAAUAAUAUAACAACAUACAAAAAUCAAAAACCCCAUUCAAUGGAGACAACAACAUAAACUAGUGAAGAAAGUGGUGUUGCUUCCACGGCCUUUGCCAGAGCAACGCCGGAGUAUUAAUAGUCAGUCCAGAUCUAGCCUUAUCUGGCCAAUACAUCAAAGAAAAGAUCAGAGAAAAUGAAAGAGAAAGGGAGAGGGGGUGCUGUUGGUGUGUUUGUUUGAAACUUGCCGGCCGUUCGGCGGUCAAACCCGACGGCGGCAACGAGAUGGGGAAGGCUGGACAUUGUGGUAGUGUGGUUGUGGUGGCCGAAUCUGCUGGUUGUGUGUGAUAGGAAACGGAGCUUGCCUGCCGGUGAUUAAUUUCGGCUAGGCAGCGGCAAAAAGAAGAGGGAGAAGGGGCAUUUUGGUGGCACUACUAAAGAAAAUGGUUUUCCU
rnacentral:lncRNA from 1 species